GGUGUUAACUCUACUGCUAAAGCCUUCUUUCCAAAGAAAAUACGUGCUAGGUUCGAGUCUCAUCAGUUUUGGAGAGUGGAUUAAGUCUAUAACUUCUCAAAUUCAACAAAAAAAAAAGAAAGUAACUGGCUCUUGUCCAUGGCCAAAAAGAUUAUAGGUUUGGACCAGAACUUCUUGAAUUCAACAGAAAAAUAAAAGUUGGGCUACUGUAUAUUAAUUAUCAAAUCAGAUUUGGAUUUUCAAUCUCUGCUAACUCAAGUCUCGAUAUUAU
rnacentral:lncRNA from 1 species